rnacentral:lncRNA from 1 species
CCCAAAACAACAUCAAACACCUUCUAGUGAUUUUGUAAAAGCCAUGUUUCACCCCUUCCAUUGUUCUCCUUUACCCCAAAUUUAUACCACAACUUCAUCUAGUCACCAUGCACCCCAGUAACUCUCCCAUAGCCUCAACUCAAUCAUUAAUAUGGUAAAAACCAUAUUUUAACCUAUCUAGCUAGCAUUGACAGCCCCAUUUCUACCUCUCCUCUCACUUCUACCCCACCGCCUCCAUUCUAGAGCAUCCAAAGGAUAUCUCCAAGACCCC